rnacentral:rRNA from 1 species
GAUGAACGCUGGCGGCGUGCCUAAUACAUGCAAGUCGAGCGAACAGACGAGGAGCUUGCUCCUCUGACGUUAGCGGCGGACGGGUGAGUAACACGUGGAUAACCUACCUAUAAGACUGGGAUAACUUCGGGAAACCGGAGCUAAUACCGGAUAAUAUAUUGAACCGCAUGGUUCAAUAGUGAAAGACGGUUUUGCUGUCACUUAUAGAUGGAUCCGCGCCGCAUUAGCUAGUUGGUAAAGUAACGGCUUCCAAGGCAACGAUGCGUAGCCGACCUGAGAGGGUGAUCGGCCACACUGGAACUGAGACACGGUCCAGACUCCUACGGGAGGCAGCAGUAGGGAAUCUUCCGCAAUGGGCGAAAGCCUGACGGAGCAACGCCGCGUGAGUGAUGAAGGUCUUCGGAUCGUAAAACUCUGUUAUUAGGGAAGAACAAAUGUGUAAGUAACUAUGCACGUCUUGACGGUACCUAAUCAGAAAGCCACGGCUAACUACGUG